CUCCAGUAGAGGGAAACAUGAAUCUUUAUAUUUGGUUGAAGGCAGGGGGACCAAAAGUUUUAAGACAACCCUACUCUAUUUGUCAUUUCUCCAUUGGACAAUGGAAUGUAUUUUAUCUUAAAUUCACAACCUCCUUGUUGUCUUUUAUUGAAUUUUAAUAAGCAUGCUCUUUGAUUCCUGUAUUUACUUAGUGUUCUCUAGUCAAGUAAUUACCAAAAUUAUGUGGAACAUUCAGAAUCACAUUGCCUAAGUGCAGGAACUAAAACCCCACAGCUGACUUUAAACAUAAGAAUACUUUUACAGAUUUCAUGUGCUUGGCAAGGUGGGGUGAGGCAGUGCCAGAUUGAGUGGGAUAUCUCCUAUGCCUAAAGCAAGCAUGCGCUUAACCAUGUUCCUGAACUGGGAGUCUACAAUCUCUGUUAUUGCAGUCUGUGAAUGUGUUGUCUUGAAUUGUACAAGCUGCAAUUAAGAGCUAUUGGAUAAUAACUAUGCCAUGAAAAUGUCCUAAACUAUUAAAGAGCUGAAGAUGAUAGUGUGCUUUUAAUGUUUCGCAUAAACCAUUUGGGAUUUGGAGAACUUUCAGCGCUCAUGAGGAAGUCAGGAUAUAUGCUUGCUUGGGUUAAAGGGAAGGAAGAGAAAAAGCCCUGAAUUAAAUUUUUGAGCUUGACACCCUCCACUUUUCUACAUGUUGCUCAAUUCUAAACAGGGAAAAUAAAAUCAGCUUUGUUCAUGAGCAUGUGCUUUUGACAUUUUUUCUUCUUGGAGCCUGUGAAUUAUUAAUAAACUAAUUUCUCUUUAUAGUUCAAUCUUUGGAGACUUAAAGUGCUCACUCAGAUGCACUGAACAAGAGGAAUGCUUCAGCUCGAAUCAGCUCCUGUCUUCUUUGGAAAUGCUGGCCUUGAGUGUCAUUGCACUUGGAGGAAGUGAAAGGUGCUCAUUUUCCAUCAGCAUCAGAUAUUCUGCAAAGGAGGCUGACAGAAGCCCCUGGUCCAGGAAGCCCAGAGGUGUGCAUCCCUGCACUCUGCCUGGAAGCCCUUUGCCACCACUGCCUCAACUUGGAGUUUCUAUGCUUAACCAUAGGAUAAACAUGCAACAUUUUCCAUACAGUGCUAACGCAAACCAGAAAUUACAAGAUUGGGAAUCUUUGCUACUAAAAUGUGAUUUCCUCUUCGCUGUAGCCGGGUCUGAGAGCUAAACAAAUUCACUUCACCAGUAACCCUGUGCAUGCGUGAAACAAAAGGUCUCAAUGAUAAAAUAACAUUGUUCGGUCCUCCCAUCCUCCCAUUCUCAUGCUUCUAAAAAAAAUAAAUAAAAAAAAAAGACUGAAAAACGGCCA
rnacentral:lncRNA from 1 species